rnacentral:rRNA from 1 species
UACGUAGGGGGCAAGCGUUGUCCGGAAUCAUUGGGCGUAAAGAGCGUGUAGGCGGUCCGGUAAGUCAGCUGUGAAAGUCAAGGGCUCAACCCUUGAAAGCCGGUUGAUACUGUCGGGCUAGAGUCCGGAAGAGGCGAGUGGAAUUCCCGGUGUAGCGGUGAAAUGCGCAGAUAUCGGGAGGAACACCAAUGGCGAAGGCGGCUACCUGGACCGGUACUGACGCUGAGGCGCGAAAGCGUGGGUAGCAAACAGG